UUUUGUUUUAGUUCAGUUUUCAAGUUACAUGGAAUAUAGUUUGUUUAGUUUUGGUUGGCCUUUAAUCCUUCUUUGCCUUCACAUUAUUAUUCGCCUUAGCUGACUCAAACAUUUGACCUUAAUUUGACUUUUACUGAUGCUAUACACCAGCUUUUUUGAGUCCCUAAUGUGCCAUGUCGUUCAAUUUAUUUUAUUUUGGCGAAUCAUAAAAUUAAGAUUAAACAAAGGGGAAAUUACCAUAGCUCAACUAGAAAACACUUAAAACAACAUAGGAUAAUCAUCAGUGGUCAAUUCUUAGCAUCUAUAGAAAUUGUCUAUUUAUUCAUUCUCAUGAGGCCUUCAGCAAGAAAGAGCAUUAAGAACUCUGCCUUUCCAUCCUUGCAGCAUCCACUGGCUAUCUUCAUCCACCAGAAAAUCCUUGUGGUAACCUCUCCGUACUUUAGCCUUGAUUUCUUUGAUGAUAUCAUGGUUCAGUGGCAGCUGCCAGAAUCCAGCCUUCUGAUUCCGAGCUUGCCAUUGCUUGUAAGUUUCUGGUCUCUCGACCUUUUCGAAACCUUCACAUGCUAUUACAUUCAUAACAUCUCGUCCAAACACCUCAAUUUCAUACAGCAGACUUCUUGAUCUUCCUGGGGAAUUGUUGCCUCAAGCAUAUAGAAAAAAGGAGUAAUUGUAUAGUGCUGCUUUGAAUCGUGUUGAAAAGAAUGGGACACUGAAGUUCCAUUAACGAUUCCAUGGACGAAAAGGUCAGGAUUUAUCUUCUUGAUCAAGUUCAAAACUGAAUCCCGUGGACUGUUUACUCCUACGGAUUCAUCAGGCAGAUGUCUUAGCCUGUACAGACAAUUAACCACCAGCAUUUGAUUUCUGUCGAUCUUGAGAUCCUCUAGUCUAAUCGUAUCCCAUUUCUUUCUAUGGCUCCCUUGGCCUUUGGAGAGGAGAAGGCAGCCUUUUUAUUUCUCAUCAAACGAAUGGCAAUUUCUUCUGGUGGGUGACUGAUGGCAAAGUAGUACCGUGAGGGAAGGGUGAAAACAACUCCCAUCGGGGAGUGAAAUGGAAUAUGAAAAAAAAAAUGAGAAUUUACCCCAAGUAAUUGAGCGUGAGAGCCAAAUGAAUCGAAAGAUUCAUGUUUGGUUCGGGACAGCGAUUCAAAGAUUGGGGUCUCACUCUAUUUCCUUGCCAGCCCUAAUAGCAUUCAUGGUCAAAGAUUCGCCGAGCCGAUAGUUCUCGCUCCACUUUUUUCAGCUUAGUUACUCGUUCCUAAGAGCUGAAAAAGAGAUGUAUUAGCUUUUCCUUUAUAAAAUACAUACUCUUAAAAUAGAAAAUAAGACUAUUCGCAACAGAAUCACUUUGUUUCGAUGACAUAUCUAAUUAGACCGAAUAGGAUUUGAAGGGCUGUCACGAUCAUUCACAUAAAUUUCAGCAGGCAGGAAGGGCACGAAAGCUACCCUUUGAUGAAUGCAAGCAAGCUAGCUUGCUUACUCUCCUAUUAGCGUAUGUUGGCGGCAAAAAACAAAGACGACGAUACUAAACUAAAGUAAAGAUAUAGGUUUAGGAAGCUUCCCAGAGUCAGUAGACCAUGUCGGAGUAGGGGAAGAGUUAGAUGAUUGGACUAAACGGAAGAUAUUGUCGAUAAAUAGAAGUACAUCUGCAUAUCUUACCCAGAUUUUCUUCCAUAAUGGUAUGAAACAAUAGUCUCAUUGGAGUAGAUACACAAAUUACUUUAAAUGUAAGAAGCCAAGUAGGCGGGUUUGUCCGAGUGGAGAGGGAAAAAAAAAAAACUAAUAAUCUUUUCUGGAGAUAUCCAUUUCUUCUUUUGGUUGUUUCCAAGUCUUGUGACUGUCAGUUACUCGAAAAGGAAAGUAGGCCCACAGAAUCGCGCUUCGCAAAAGACGGGUAGAUAAAUGAAAAUAAAAAUGCAUAUAGAACGAACAAAUAAUACUCAAUCAUCAAUUUACCCUUAAGAAAAAUAAUCCCCUUUAUUUCUUUUUUGAUAAUGUAACGAAUAAAAGUCUAUGUAAGUAAAAUAUGACUAAAAAAGGUAGUAGUAAUUAAAAAGAACUCAAAGGGAACAUUAAAUCUCUGACAGUAUUUCUGUAGUCGACGUCCUGUCUGCUCAACUCGUUCUGCUGGCUUGAAACCCGACUGAGGAAAAUCUAUUCCUGUAAUGCGAAGUAUGGGAGCUCCCCCUGGUUUCAAGGAAAUGCCCUGGAUAAUGCGAGGCUAUCCUUUUGAAUGGGCAUGCUGCGACAUAUGUCUGAUACACUUUCAGUAGAGAGGAAAUACACGGAAAUGACUUUUGGACUGUAGCAAAUUUUAACAUUAGCCUUUAACCCAUUAAAAAAAUUAAGUUAAAACAUAACUUUACACUAACAGGGCGAUUUUACCCUUCAAGGCUACAGACUGUUUGAAAGUUUCCUCUCUAACCGAUCGACCCAAAAAAAUCGACGCCACAGUUGCAAGAAAAAUCGGUCGAUCAACCAUCGACCGAAACCAUCAACGUCAUAGUGAUUUCAAUCGACGACCAGAAGCACGUAUCUACCACCGAGCGAACUAUUUCGGUUAGUUUUCUCCCAG
rnacentral:lncRNA from 1 species